GUGCUCACUUCAGCAGCCCCUAUACUAAAACUGGAACAACCCAGAGAUUAGCAUGGCCCCUGAACAAAGAUGACACACAAAUUCGUGAAGUGUUCAAUACUUUC